AUGCCAAAGCCUUCCUUUGCGGUGGCUAUCGAAGAUGGAUCAUACCAAUGCACCUUGACUUUGCCUCCAAAUGCGGCGUUUCAAAGGAUAGUUGGCCCUUUAUGCAGUACAAGUAAUUUAGCCAAGCAGCUUGUAUCCCUAGAUGCGUGCAAGAAAUUGCAUCAUCUAGGAGAACUCAAUGAUCAUCUUCUACCCUUCACCGAAGAACCUAUUGAUAUUGAUGUUGCUUUAAGAGAUGGGAAAUUCCUUUCUGGACCAGGAACGACUAAAAGAAAGGAGCUCCAUGGAACAAGAAAUGUUCUUGCCCUGUCAGGAUCGUGGAUUCAUGAAAGUGGAAGUGUCACAUUGAAUGCUUAUAGAUUCGGUUUUCUUUGUGACCAAGAGGGUGAAAACUAUGCUGGGUUUGUUCUCUUAAUGGAAUCAGCACUUGAUGAUGAUGUAGCUUAUUCAAAAAUGGAUCUAUUCCUGAUCCCUAAUAAAAUGGUCUACACCACCGUAACUCCGUGUGGAAAAGUUCAACUGGACAAAAAACAGCUACGUGACGGGAAGUUGUUUCAAGAAUUCUUUUUCAAUGGAAUAUUUGGUAGAUUAUUUCAUGGAUCUCGAACAAGUGGAGUGCAAAGGGAAUUUCUUUUCAGAAAAGGUCAUGAAAUACAAUGGAGCUCAGAGAGCAUGUACUUACUUUUACCUUUGAGGCAUUCACCACACAUCCAGCAAGAUUUAAACAUAUACUGGGAGGCAGUUGAAUCCUGCACCCAGGCGGUGGAGCGGUUGAGAAAUUUGUAUCUGGAAGAGGAAAAUAUCCGUGCAAAUUUUAUUCAACAUAGAAGUAUCAAGGAGAAAGACAUUAUUCAUCUGGCCAACAAAUCUCUUCAUUUUUCUAGCAUCAAAGAUUCAGUUGUGCUAUCGCUUCAUACUGGAAGGAUAUACUCUGUUCUUGACUUGAUCUAUGACAUAACUGCUGAAGACGCGUUUGAAGAGAUGUAUAAUGGAAAAGCUUCACCGUUUUCUUCAUUCGUGGACUACUAUCGUGAAAAGUAUGGUAUUGUUAUUCAACAUCCAAAACAACCGUUGUUGCUGUUAAAGCAAAGCCACAAUGCACACAAUCUUCUUUUUUCAAAAUCGAAGUACAUAGAUGGUUCUACGGGCGAUCCUUUGCUUAUGGAAAAAGAGCAAAUACACGCCCGGGUCCCACCUGAAUUGUUAAUCCACAUUGAUGUGACAAUUGAAGUUCUCAAAUCUUUUUACUUAUUGCCUUCUGUAAUGCAUCGACUUCAGUCUCUCAUGCUAGCCAGCCAGCUCCGCAGAGAUAUUGGUUACACUCAACAUAUACCAAGUUACCUGAUUUUGGAAGCUAUCACAACUUUAAGGUGCUGUGAAACAUUUUCCCUGGAGCGUUUAGAACUAUUGGGAGACUCAGUACUAAAAUAUGUGAUAGGAUGUGACCUGUUUUUAAGGUAUCCUAUGAAACAUGAAGGUCAUCUUUCUGAUAUGAGAUCAAAUGCUGUCUGCAAUGCUACACUUCAUAAGCACGGAAUCUGGCGAUCCUUGCAGGGUUACGUGCGGGAUAGUGCAUUUGACCCACGGCGUUGGGUUGCUCCUGGGCAGAUAUCUUUGCGCCCUUUUCCUUGUAACUGCGGAAUUGAGACUGCAUUUGUUCCAACUAAUGGAAGGUAUAUCAGCGACGACCCAUCUUUUGUAGUUGGAAAACCAUGUGAUAGAGCUCACAGAUGGAUGUGCUCGAAAGCAAUAUCUGAUUGUGUUGAAGCCCUAGUUGGAGCAUAUUAUGUUGGUGGUGGCAUAGUUGCUGCACUUUGGGUUAUGAAGUGGUUCGGUAUUGAAAUAAAAUGCGAUAGGACGUUGGUACAGGAAGUAAAGCUCAAUGCAUCUUAUAUAUGCUACUUACCUAAAAUAAGUGUUAUUGAGGAGUUGGAAGCAAAACUGAAGUACAACUUCUCGGUCAAGGGCCUUCUACUGGAAGCCAUAACUCAUCCAUCUCUGCAGGAAUUAGGGGUUGACUACUGUUACCAGCGUCUGGAAUUUCUGGGUGAUUCUGUGCUGGAUCUACUAAUUACACGCUAUCUCUAUGUUACCCAUACUGAUGUUGAUCCUGGAGAAUUGACAGACUUACGUUCCGCUUUGGUUAGUAACGAGAAUUUUGCAGAAGUAGUUUUAAGAAACAACAUUCACAGUCAUCUACAGCAUGGGUCUGGAAUACUUUUGGAGCAAAUCACAGAAUAUGUUAGAUCCAAUUUGGAGUGCCAAGGGAAGGUUAAUAAAUUCCUUCAACAUGCUACAUGUAAAGCACCUAAGGUACUUGGUGACAUUAUGGAAAGCAUUGCCGGUGCAAUAUUUGUUGACGCAGAUUUUAAUGUUGAUGUGGUUUGGAAGAUUGUUGAACCGUUGCUUUCCCCAAUGAUAACCCCUGAUAAUCUUGCAUUGCCACCUUAUCGGGAGUUGUUAGAGCUGUGUAGUCACCUUGGUUAUUUCAUAAAUUCAAAAUGCAGUAGUAAAGGAGAAGAAUUAAGUAUAGAGAUGUCAGUGCAAUUACGAGAUGAACUGUUGAUAGCGCAAGGACAAGACAGAAACAAGAAGAGUGCAAAGGCAAAAGCAGCAGCUCGUAUAUUGGCAGAUCUGAAGAAAAGAGGCCUUUCAAUGAAACAAUGUUCUUCUAAAGCUAAGCAGUUGGAUAUUAUAUCAUCGGAGCAGUAUCCUUUGGCAAGUUUGGAAUCACCACUUGAUUAUUGUCACGUGAAUGCCAAUCCUAGCCUAGGAGGCCUUCCCUCACUGAAAGAAGCAGUUGUUCUUCGGCUUAAAAUGGACAAAGGUGGACCACGAAGUGCUCUUUUUAAGCUAUGCAAGAGGUUGCCGUGGCCAAUGCCAGAAUUCGAAUUUGUUGAACAAAGGUUCAGGACUCCUAUUGUUCUGGACGGGGUAACCACAACGAACUUCAAUAGCUUCGUGUCAACCAUCACCUUGCACAUACCUGAUGUAACAGCCAUUACACUUCAAGGCGAGCGGCGGACUGACAAAAGGAGUUCCCAGGAUUCAGCAUCGCUGGCAAUGCUCCACAAGCUUCAAGAGCUCAAGGUCUGUAUAUGCAAGACUUAG
rnacentral:rRNA from 1 species